UUUUUUUUUUUUUAAUUUUCUUUUUUAAUUUUUCCUUCUUCUCCAGAAAGCCCCCAGUAUAUAGUUUUAUAUUUAAGUUGUGGGUCCUUCUAGUUGUGGCAUGUGGGACACUGCCUCAGCAUAGCUUGAUGAGCGGUGCUGGGUCCAUGUGCCCAGGAUCCAAACGAGCAAAACCCUAGGCCACCAAGGUGGAGCACGCGAAUUUACCCAUGGGGCCAUGGGGCGGUCCCCGUAGUGCUUUCUAAUCUAUAAUAGCCAAAAAUGAGCAACUUGGACUUUCAAUGUACUUUUCUUCCCAUGGCAUUUUUAAAGCCAGAAAAAAUCAUUAGUAACUCCUUACUAGUAAAAACGUGGGCAUCUCAUCUAUUACACAGUUUGACCUCCUGAAUCACUGUCUCCAGUCCUACCAUCAGCAGUCCAAGGUUUCUUCCAGAUAGCUCCAAGCUGCCCUGUUUGCUGCUUCGCUGGGUCAGGUGGAGGAAGCAUCUAAGGCUCCCUCUGUUGGAGACUGUAUUACAUCUCCUCCCGUACACCACAAAAGAAGAAUGUUCUUGAUAAGAACCCUUCCUGAGAACCAGCUCUAGAGACAUCAAUAUCUCUCACUAGUGAGUGAUGAAGAAUUGUCUUUCAGAAAAUCUGCAAAGUCACGUAGCCAGAGCAUGUGCAAAAGAAGAAAUCUUGACCUGAAAUGACCGGGGAACCAAAGAUCCUCCUCCGCACAGAACCCAAGGACUGGGACGUGACUGGAACUUGAAAGUUGGACUCUUACCAGAAUUACCUCCAGUCAACUGAAGUCUGAAAAUAUUAAAUGGAAAAUUCCAGAAAUAAACAAUUCAUAAGUUUAAAAUUUUGCUGUUUUGAAGAGUGUGAUGAAAUCUCACUCCAUCUCGCCUGGGAGGAUUCGAAGAAACCUGGGGGUGAGGGAAGAAAAGCGUAACGCCGAAG
rnacentral:lncRNA from 1 species